CCUUUGGCAGCGUUGGGAAGGACAGGAGGUCAGAGAGGGGGGAAACACGGGGACAGAGGGGAGAGAAGCUGCCCUUGGCAGCGUGAGCGGGAAAGAAGCGGGGAGACUGGCGCGGCAAUUGGAGAGCCUGACAGAAGCAGAGUGCAGAAAAGGAGGGCAGGUCAACAGGCGGAAAAAGAUAGAAGCUGCCUUAGGCAGCGUGCUGGCAGAGGACAUACCGCGCAGAGAGAAAGAAGCCCGGCAGAUCUUCUUUUCUCGGUUAAAUCUUUCCAAACUUAUGUUUUACUUUUGGUUUAAUUUGAUAAUAAUGUGUAACUAAAUUUUUUUGGCUAGAGGUUAAUUCGAAACCAUGAAUAUAUUGUAAUAUGAAUUGAUUACCUUCAGUUGUGAUUUCUGAGUUAUGAUUUAAUUUGCUUAACUGCUUGAUUGAUAACU
rnacentral:lncRNA from 1 species